rnacentral:lncRNA from 1 species
AAAGUACACCAAGUGAGCUUCAAGGGGAGUGCAGAAGGCCUUAAUCUGUCUCUUUCAUGUGUCUGCUGCGUUCUUCAAAGGUGAGCAAUCUCCUACUGGAUCUGCAAAAUCCCUGAGAGGGCAGCAGCAAGGAAGAGGAAAUGAAGACAUGUCAAAUCUGAAAAAUCAUAACAUAAUGUUUGACUGCAUUGUUAUCCAAGUACAUCUUUCACUGUAAGAAACCUCUAUGACAAGCAUGGAUUUGUAAUGAGAAGAGGCUAUUAUAUCAAAUCAACCAUCUCUGUCGGUUUGCUGAUCAACAAGACAGGAGCUUUAAUGCCUACAGAUAAUAUUGGCCUCAUAUCUCCUAGUUCAUCCAUUGUACAGAUUGGACUUCAAAUGAGGCAGCAAGUUGGAGAAAACAAGCUGUUGAAGACACUGGAUUGUCCGGAUGGCCUUUCCUUUCAAGGUAGCAAGUUUGCUGAAGGUAACCACUUGAUCACAACACAGUCUCAGUCAAGGAUUAGAGAUGUGCACUGUUGA